rnacentral:rRNA from 1 species
AGAGCGAACGCUGGCGGCAGGCUUAACACAUGCAAGUCGAGCGGGCGUAGCAAUACGUCAGCGGCAGACGGGUGAGUAACGCGUGGGAACGUACCUUUUGGUUCGGAACAACCCAGGGAAACUUGGGCUAAUACCGGAUAAGCCCUUACGGGGAAAGAUUUAUCGCCGAAAGAUCGGCCCGCGUCUGAUUAGCUAGUUGGUGGGGUAAUGGCCCACCAAGGCGACGAUCAGUAGCUGGUCUGAGAGGAUGAUCAGCCACAUUGGGACUGAGACACGGCCCAAACUCCUACGGGAGGCAGCAGUGGGGAAUAUUGGACAAUGGGCGCAAGCCUGAUCCAGCCAUGCCGCGUGAGUGAUGAAGGCCCUAGGGUUGUAAAGCUCUUUGUGCGGGAAGAUAAUGACGGUACCGCAAGAAUAAGCCCGGCUAACUUCGUGCCAGCAGCCGC